rnacentral:lncRNA from 1 species
UCCAAAGUCAUUUUCACCAUUUCAGAGAGACAGCUUUUUUUUUUUCAGUUCCUGACAGUAAGCUUCUGUUUAUUGUUGUCAUAGAGCAGGGUUUCUCAAUCUUGGCGCUAUCAAGAUUUCAGGCUGACUCAUUCUUGCUUGUCCUGUGCAUUGUUGGAUAUUCGGCAGUAUUCGUAGCCUCUACACACUAGAUACCAGAAGCACCCCACCUCUCAGUUGUGACAACCAAAAAUAUCUCCCGAUAUUGUUAAAUGUCUCCUGGGGGUAAAAUCACAAUUGAAAGGCACCCUCAGAGCGUUCUUCUGUGUGCAAGGUCAGCCAUCACUCAGGUUAUUUCCUCUUAGACACAUUGCUUGCAAUUAGAUUGUCGAUUGGUUGUUAGAGCGACCUUCUUAACCAUUUAUUUUCUUGAAAGCAGCAAGACAGAGUGCUUCUGCGCUUGUGAAUCUUCUAGCAGUAUAAGCUCCCUCUAAGUUUUUUAAACAGCAGAUUUUUAAACAAUGCUUCAGCCUUGUGUCAGUACCUUUCCCCAAAUAAACAGAUCAACACUCCAAACAGGACCCUGCCUUCUAGCUAUAACUAACAUCCAGUGGCCCCUUAAUAAUCAGAGGUUUGCCUCCACUACUUGAUAGCAAGAAGUACAAACCCCCUUGUACUAGCUUAUGUUAAAGGGAAUCCAUUCACUGUAAGAAUAUGACAGUAAAUCUUAUAGGCAUUCAGGGGUGGGAAAUCAAGUGUGUGAGGGCCAAGGGAGACUUGAACUUAAAAGGAGGAAUCCCUAGCACGUGGAGCUGGUUUGCUAGGACUUCGUUUCAGGCUUCAACCCUACAGGACAUUGCCAGAUCUAUAGACCCACAGCCAAUCAUCUCCAUUGCCCAGUAUUCCAGUUAUAUAGCUCUUGGAAGAGAUAACUUGACUGAGUACCAUGCCUUCCCAACCUGUCUGUUACCUACUCUCUGCUCUGACUCCAUCCAUGCAGUCUACACUAGAGCUCCCUGAACUUCCAGUUCUCCUAACUGGUCAUGUUUUCUUUUGCAUGUGGAUCUUCAUCCAUGCUAUUUCUUCUGCCUAGAACAUUCUUAUUCCCUUCUGGCAUCUGACCAACUCCUACUUGUUUGAGGUCUCUCAGCUAAGCUGUCACUCCCAUCUUAAGCUAUCCUUAAAAUAUUCAACUACCCCUUUCUCCCCACUCCCAGACUACAAAAGGUGUUCCUGCUCUGUGCACCCUGGACUUGCCCAUAACAAAGCAUAUACUGCAUUAUAUAGCAGUUGUCUUUCUCACUAGAUUAACUCAGAAAUAGUGCUCACCAGUUUAUUCCCUGCACUUAAUUAAAAAAAAAUGAAUAAAUGAACAAACUGGCUUAUUUCAGUCAGUUGUCCACCCUUGCCAAAAAUUAGCUGCAUUAAAAAGCACAGGAGGAGCCCGGCGUAGUGGCAAGCACCUGUAAUCACAGCUACUUGGGAGGUUGAGGCAGAAGAAUCUAUUGAACCCAGGAGGCAGAGGUUGCAGUGAGCCGAGAUUGCAUCACUGCCCUCCAGCCUGGGCAACAGAGUGAGACUCUGCCUCAAAAAAAAAAAAAAUAAAUAAAUAAAAUAAAUAAAAUAAAAGCGUAGGAGGGCAGCUGCUACAAAUAACUCCCUGAACUCUUCAGCUGUGGGUCAGGGUAGAUUCAUCUAGAGGAGUAUGGGUGGGAAACAAGGGCUGGCAUCUGUAAGACAGUUUUAACAGCAUAUAUUAAAGCUCAUUUAGUAGUAUUUGAAUCUGUUUUGACAAAGAGAAGGAUUGGAAUAAAUCAAAUAUUAGCUAAAACUGUAUAUUCAGAGUCUUAAUAUUGUGAUUAAGAUUAAGGGUAAAAUUCUGGAGAUAUUGUCAUUAGGAGGCUCUCCACUUUGACUGUGGAUGUUUCUUUGAAAAGUGUGCCAGGGCGCCAGAGGGGAGCAUUACACUUUAGAGCAGUUGUUCUUAACCCUGGCUGCACAUUGGAACUACCUAGUGACAUCAGUGGUGGUGGUGUGUGUUGAAAAAUAUUGAUACUAGUGCCUGGGUACUGAUUUAAUUGGUCUGGAGUAAUGUCUGAGCAUCAGCAGUUUUAAAAGCUUCCCAGGUGUUUCUAAUCUGCAGCUUAGGUGGAAAACCAGUGCUUUACUCUUGCUUUCCAGAGUGUGGUUCUCAAACCAUUAUCAUUUAUAUCACCUAGAAAUGCAGAACCUCAGGCCUCCCCCUCAGAUCUCCUGAAUCAGAACCUACAUUUUAACAAGAUUCCCAGAAGAUAUGUACAUGUGUAAAGUAUUAAAGUUGGAGAACAGCCGGAUGCAGUGGCCUGCAAUUCUUAACAGUGAUUCAUUUACAAAAUUACAUCAAGAUAUACUGUUUUUGCUUCUUUCUUUACAAACAUAUGUAAGGUUAGCAUACAAACAGCACAAACCUCCUGGAUGUGCAGGAGUCAGGGAGCCCAGCCCAGGUUCCCUUAAGGCUGGCACCCGAGAUGCAUGAUUUUUAUUUGUAUUCUGCUUCAAACCCUGGGUCUGCUAGAGCUCUUUGCAUUACGUCUCUUGGUCCUUCAGGAAAUGAAACCUUUUCCUGACUUGUUCCUUAGGAAUAACCUCCAAGUUCAAGCUAAACUACACCUCAGGCGGCUUGCUGAUAUCUUGGAUUAGCUAUGGCUUCCCCUUGUCCCUAGGUAUUCACUGUGCUUCUCCCGAUCCUGUCUUGGAGAGCUGAUUUUCAGCCAGAAGACACCUCAUGGCCACUCUGGUUAUUAAAAUAUUCUAGUAAUUCUGUACUGACUGGCAAAGUGCGUGUCCUGAGCGGCCCAAGUGUCCAAGUCCCUUCCUAAGGAUCUGACUACCACGUUGCCACUGUCCAGCACCUGGAGGUCUCACAUCUGGCCCUGCUAAGAACCUCAGGACCUUGCAACAGAAUUCUGGUCACUGUCUAAUUGGUCAACGUAUGUGUACCUCCUCUGCUGCCUUGAUGAAAUCAAGGUUUCUUGUCAGUUUCCUUCAUUCUUCCUUUUCUGUUGUAGGUUACACUUUACUGUUAUGACUUUUCUCUUCUACAUACCUGUGUGCCACAGAUCUAUGAGAGAUCUAAUAUAUCCCAUCUGUUCUUAAAGUGUUGUCUCCAGAACAGCAGCAGCAGCAGCAUCACCUUGAACUUGUUCAAAUUCUCCAG